GCCCGAGAGGGAAUUCAAACCAAGUUGUCGGUGGAUGGGCCCAGGGACUGAUGCCGCCUUGACGGGCGUCCCCGGGACCAGGGGACAGGACACGGGGCUGCAGGAUUGGUGUUUGUGUGACUUCAUCUCAUGAUGAGCCGUGAGGGCGGAGGCGCGAGGCCUGAGCCGUGGCCUCUGGGGAGGAGCCGCGCCAGCCCCCCGGCCCCCUCCUCCAGAGGCUUUGCUAAAUCCACUGCUCAGAGGGUCACCCUUCCUGCCGUGACGUCCUCGCACCAUCAGGGCCCCUCUUAGCCGGCAAGCACGUCUGCUCUAAGGUUCUCAUGGGUAUUGUGGCGUCCAUCCCUCCCGCCUCCCAGAUGUGUGCUUAACCUGGGACCCCGCUGGAGACAGAUCAUUGAUUCCAAGGGGACGUUCAGUUUACACGCCUGCAUUACUGAGGACCAUCCCUGCGGGCAGAAACCCCCCAUUCUUCCUCCGGCCCCCACCGCGGUCUUCUCCCCAGCUCCCAGCUGACGCCUGAGCACGCUGAGGCUCUACGGAGACCUUUUGCUUCUGGGUGACAGAUGACUCUCUCCUCCUCUGGCCCAGGGAGGGGGCCCGCCGCUUAAUGUUACCAAAUGUGCCAGAAGGGGCGAAAGCUCCCUAAUUCAUCUGUGCACUUCGAGGAGAACGAGAGUGGUGAACACGCAGCGGUUCGUGGAAUAAACCUAAGUACGGUGGUUUGCAAUACGGAUUUUCCCGUCCGAGUUCUUCGAAUCUGCUCCGUCAGCACAUUCGGGCUCUGUGUCCAGAGAUACAGCAGAUGAACAGCAUCACCCCCAGCCCCGCUCAGGGUGCGCGUAGGGCCUCGGUUUGUCUCGGAAGGUCGGGCUGAGGGUUGUAGGGAGCAGCCUCCGGAUGGACGGGUGUGCUCGGAGAGAUGCCCGCCGGCUUCCUGCUGUCUUGAGGACGGAGCCUAGCACCCAGUGGUCCCCAGGCCUCCCUCCCGCCUGCCUCUAAGUCCCUCCCCUCCACAGGGCUUUGCACACAGCAGCUGUGAAUCAUCCAGCCUCCCUCUGCCCAGCAGGCCUGCCUCCCAGGGACCACAGGUACCUCUGAGAACUCCCAGGGGACCCGGCCAGCCGGGCUGGGCAGCUGAUGGUGGUGGGGGGAGGGGAGAGGUAGACAGGG